UUUUUAUAAAAUUAACAAAAAUUUUUGUUAAUUUUAUUUUGUUGGGGUGAUUUAAAAAUUAAUUAAACUUUUUAAAUUUAAUUUAUUCAAUAAUUAUUGUUUUAAUGAAAGUAAAUUAUCUAUUAUUUAUAUAAUUAGUUUAAAA
rnacentral:rRNA from 1 species